rnacentral:rRNA from 1 species
AAUACCCCCUAUGAUGACGGUACCGUUUGUAAGCUCCGGCUAACUCCGUGCCAGCAGCCGCGGUAAUACGGGGGGAGCAAGCGUUGUUCGGAUUUACUGGGCGUAAAGGGCGCGUAGGCGGCCAGCACAAGUCAGUUGUGAAAUCUCCGAGCUUAACUCGGAAAGGUCAACUGAUACUGUGCGGCUAGAGUGCGGAAGGGGCAACUGGAAUUCUUGGUGUAGCGGUGAAAUGCGUAGAUAUCAAGAGGAACACCUGCGGCGAAGGCGGGUUGCUGGGCCGACACUGACGCUGAGGCGCGAAAGCUAGGGGAGCGAACGGGAUUAGAUACCCCGGUAGUCCUAGCCUUAAACGAUGAAUGCUUGGUGUCUGGGGUUAUAAAGUCCCCGGGUGCCGUCGCUAACGCUUUAAGCAUUCCGCCUGGGGAGUACGGUCGCAAGACUGAAACUCAAAGG